AAACCCCUCCCAUCUUAUUUCUCUCAUUUUCAGACAAAUGAAACCCUUCUCAAAAAUCCGAUUCGGUGCAAGCGCCAAAGCAAGUCGAAAGUAACGAUUUGUUGGUCGAUUUCUUCUCUCUCAUUUUCAGACAAAGGAAGCCCCUGCCCGUGACCCGUGUUGGUGCAAGCAAAAAAUCGCUACUUUCGACCUAGCGAUUGUGAAUUAGAUAAACACAUAGCAGCUUCGACUAUUUCUUCUCUCUCAUUUUCAGCCAAAAUAGACCGAUACAAGUUCAGAAUCUAGGUCGAAUUGAACGGAUUUGGAAGAGAAGCUCAGAAUAGCUGUUUACCCAUACAAGUUCGGUCUCUCUCUCUCUCUCUCUCUCUAUUUACUCACAUUUAUAUGAACUGUUAUUUUGAUUACAUUAUUGAUAAACAAUUUUCUAGUUAUGAUUUAGACAUUAAAUUUAGACAUUCUGAUUAUUGGAUUUUCCAGCUUUCGUGGUUUAGUAAUUUGGGACUCUUUUUUCAUUUGGUUUUCAAGGAUUAUGUGUUUUGCACCUUUCGGUGGUUUCAAAGUUUAAGACCAAUGACUAUUUGGAUUAUUCAGACUAUUACAAUAGUUUGAUUGUUGUGAAUUUAUGAUUCUAAAAAGCAUAAUCAACUCAUCUGGAUUCUAAAAGACUGAAAAUGCAUCUUUUCUGUUUGAUGAAAUGUCUAUGAAGGAUAUGUGGGUUCUUGGACUGCACUUGUAAUCCACACUGCCAACACUUUGUGGAUUCAUUAUAAUUUAGAACUUUGUUUGAAUGUUAUUGUUAUAAUACAGUACGUGCAAGAAACUGUACGAAAUCAAUUGUAGCGGAUGAUAGCAAGAUCAAUUAACUUGAAUAAAGCAACAAUAAAACGAAGCACCAUUGAUACAAAGGCGCUAUAUCAUGCACUAAAUUAGACUUGUAGUAGUUAAAGCAGAAGUAAGACACGGCGUAUGCGGUAGAAAACUUUUAGACAAGGGGGCGCAACUAAGGGUUUAGCAAGAUCAUGCACUUCAGAUGUGCGAGGGAGGCAACAAGUCCUUUUUCUUAGAAUGAUGCUCUGUCUGACUCAUGAUGGACUAUAUGAUCUGACAUUACUUGUUCUUCCCUUUGAAUAAGCCCACAUGUUUAACACAAACACCACAAAAAAAUUGACAGUACUAAUCAAUCAUUAACUCUCAAAAUACCAUCAGCCAAUGAAGAUGAAGAUAGAGAUAUCCAAAGAUAUCCACACACAUAUAAGUUAAAUUUUGAUUAUGUUAUUUGAAGGGUGUAAGAUUACUUUUCAGUUUUCAUCAGUUUGAGUGGAAAAUUUUGGAGAGAAAGUAGAGCUAAUUUUACACCCAUUUCUCUCUCUAACCAAAAAAAAAAUCCCUCACAAAUAUGAUUUUUGAAAAGAAAACAAUCAAAAUUCUCCUAAAUUCUAGGUUUCUCAAAAAACAAUCUCAAUAUGAGAUAUGAUUUAACUUAUAUUUAUCUUUUAUAAAUAAUUUAAUAAGCAAACUAUUAAUUGUAUUAUAUAAGUCACCCUACCAAAAUAUUCUAUGAGUUUCAAAUUAUUUGAUCAUUGUUGACUUUUAAAAAUUAAUUUAAGACAUUUUGAAAUUCAAAAUUAAGAAAAUUUAUUAAAAAUUAUGAAACAAUAAAACUUAAGAUGAGUAAUACUUUUUAGAUAAUUUACAAUAUUGAUUAUUGUAUUGAUCAAAAUUUUAAAAAAAAUGUGUCAAUUUUAAAUUUAAAAAUCUCUUAAGUUGGCUUUAACAAUGAUCAAAUAAUAUGAAGCAGAGGAAGUAUAUUAUAAAUUACAUUUGGACUAACUUGAAAACAAAUAACUUCUUCCUCUUUUCCUUUUUAUCAAUGAAAAUAUAUAUAAUCAAGUUGAUACAAGUAUAUGAAAACUUGUACUUGUUGUUUCUAUUCUAAAAAAGAGUUUUAUUUGGUUGUUUUUUUCUUUAAUAAUUUCUUCAAAUUAUAUUUGAAAAAUAUUAGGUCGAUCAGACCAAAUUAUGAGUGAAAUGUCAUGGUCGACCAAGUCAGAUCAUGAGUGAAUAGAAAAUAUAUAGCUGUUGCAUACGAAAGACUUAGAAUAAUUCUACCACUUCUACUAGGAGUCAUUUUUUUAGUGCUAGUUUAAUAUAAAGUAAUGACUUUUUAUAAAAAUAAAAGGUCUAAUGUAUUGAGAUUGUUUCAACUUCUAGCAGAUGGUUUGAAAUUAAUUCUAAAAGAACCUAUUUCAUAUUAAGUAGUGCCAACUAACUUCACCCUUUUUACAAUGGCUCUACUGGCUACGUUUAUGUUAAGGGUGUGUUUGUUUACAUCUGAAUAGCUCUUAAUGGGUAUGCCUCUGAUUCGGUCAGAGGCAAAACUUGUUUGGUAAAUUUUUUUUUGCCUCUUAAUCGGUAAGAUGUGAAAUGAAAUCUAUACCAUUUAGAGGCUGGUCUGAAUGAGUUUAUAUUUUUUUGGGACAAAAUUAACCUAUUCAAUAUUACAAAAUUCCUCUUAUAUCCCUCUAAUAAAAUACACAAUACACAAUACACAAUCCAGUCAUCGUCAUCACCAAUUUCUUUGAUCUGCAAGUACAAAUGUUCAACCCACUCUUCACACCGUCUCCUGCGAAAAAUACUGAACCCAUAUCUAAUUGAAGACAAAAUCCCUUUUUUAUACAUCCCAAAAAAUUACAGGAGGAGAAAGAAACACCAUUGAAGCAAGAAGAGGUUGAUGAAUAAAACCUGAAAGAGGAGAUUGAAGGAUGAACCCAUAUCUGAUUGAAGACAAAAGUUAAUCCUUUUUUUAUACAUCCCCAAAAAUUACAGGAGGAGAGAGAAACACUAUUGAAGCAAGAAGAGGUUGCCG
rnacentral:lncRNA from 1 species